UAUCGAGGGUGUGACGGAGAAGGAUAGUGUGUGCUAGCGAUUGGAAAUGCUAGUCUAAGCGUUUAGGAAGUUACAGUAGGCAAAUCCGCUGUAACAAUUCUGAGGCGUGAUGGGGAAGGUCAUUAAGACCGAAGUACAUGAUUCCAUGCUUCCAAGAAAAGCAUCUAGAGAGAGAAGUAGUGCCCGUACCGCAAACCGACACAGGUAGAUGAGGAGAGAAUCCUAAGGCCGGCGGAAGAAUUGCAGUUAAGGAACUAGGCAAAUUGACCCCGUAAGUUCGCGAGAAGGGGUGCCUGCGAGAGCAGGCCGCAGAGAAUAGGCCCAAGCAACUGUUUAGCAAAAACACAGGUCUCUGCUAAAGCGUAAGCUGAUGUAUAGGGGCUGACGCCUGCCCGGUGCUGGAAGGUUAAGGGGAACACUUAGCGCAAGCGAAGGUGUGAACUUAAGCCCCAGUAAACGGCGGCCGUAACUAUAACGGUCCUAAGGUAGCGAAAUUCCUUGUCAGGUAAGUUCUGACCCGCACGAAUGGCGUAAUGACUUGGGCACUGUCUCAACUGCAAAUCCGGCGAAGUUGUAGUGCGAGUGAAGAUGCUCGCUACCCGCGAUUGGACGGAAAGACCCCGUAGAGCUUUACUGUAGCUUAGCAUUGAAUUCCGGUAUUGUCUGUACAGGAUAGGUGGGAGACUGGGAAACUAGGGCGUCAGCCUUAGUGGAGUCAACCUUGGGAUACCACCCUGACAGUACUGGGGUUCUAACAGGACGCCAUGAAACUGGUGACUGGACAUUGUUAGGUGGGCAGUUUGACUGGGGCGGUCGCCUCCUAAAAAGUAACGGAGGCGCCCAAAGGUUCCCUCAGAACGGUCGGAAAUCGUUCGUAGAGUGCAAAGGCAGGAGGGAGCCUGACUGCGAGACCUACAAGUCGAGCAGGGACGAAAGUCGGGCUUAGUGAUCCGGUGGUACCUCGUGGGAGGGCCAUCGCUCAACGGAUAAAAGCUACCUCGGGGAUAACAGGCUGAUCUCCCCCAAGAGUCCACAUCGACGGGGAGGUUUGGCACCUCGAUGUCGGCUCGUCGCAUCCUGGGGCUGUAGUAGGUCCCAAGGGUUGGGCUGUUCGCCCAUUAAAGCGGCACGCGAGCUGGGUUCAGAACGUCGUGAGACAGUUCGGUCCCUAUCCGUCGCGGGCGUAGGAAAUUUGAGAGGAGCUGUCCUUAGUACGAGAGGACCGGGAUGGACUGACCUCUGGUGCACCAGUUGUUCUGCCAAGAGCAUGGCUGGGUAGCUAAGUCGGGAAGGGAUAAACGCUGAAAGCAUCUAAGCGUGAAGCCCCCCUCAAGAUGAGAUUUCCCAUAGCAUAAGCUAGUAAGACCCCUUGAAGAACACAAGGUUGAUAGGUCAGAGGUGGAAGUGCGGUAACGUAUGUAGCUGACUGAUACUAAUAGGUCGAGGGCUUGACCC
rnacentral:rRNA from 1 species